rnacentral:lncRNA from 1 species
CGGAAAAUGCUAUGGGUGAAGCCCACCACUCAGUACCCAUUUUCAUUUCUAAUGACACCCCUAGUUCCUUCCUUCCCAGGAUUUUCAAAAGCAGACUCAUCAGUGUCAAGUUUGUAGUGACCUCUAUGGGUGAAGCCCACCAACCAGCACCCAUUUUCAUUUCUAAUGACACCCUUAGUCCCCAUUUUCAUUUCUAAUGACACCCCUAGCGCCCCCUUUCCCAGGGUUCCCAAAAGCAAACUCGUCAAUGUUAAGUUUAUAAUGACAGUGCCACCCUUCCCAGGAUUCCUAAAAAACAGACCCAUUAGUGUUAAGUUUAUAAUGACCUCUAUGGGUGAAGCUCAG